UGAUGUUUUUUCACGGUUACAACUUCCUGUCUCCCAGUCGCACGUUUUGUUUCAUUGUUUCAGGUUUAGUCCCUUCCCCUUCCCCACUUUUUGAUUCUCACGGUUUCAGCUUUUGUUCUACUAUUUCACUCACGGUUUCAUCUUCCUAUUCUAUGGUUUCAGCUUUAGUUUCGGCUUCUAACAAUUUGUUGAGAUCUUUGUCAAUUACAACACUUGGGUAACUUCCAAGAAGAGUUGCUGGAACAAACUGAUAGCUAAUGAGGACAAUGUAAUCGUUAACUGCAACUGCCAUAUGAUUUGCUGCUCUGCCUUAUCUCUUCUCUGCAACAUUAUUUUUUAAAGAAUGAGACUGAUUUUCAGGAUUUAUGAUGGCUGAACCAAUGCUCAUGAUUGGUGGCAAUAAUGCUCAACUUAAGUUGCUGCAUAACUCAUGUUGGUGCUGCUGCUGGAGGCUUAAGUAGCUGCAUAAUUGUUGGUGUUGUUGUUGCUUAAAGUCAAAUUCUUUUUUCAGACACUAUAUGCUUAAAUAUACUACAUUAUUUAAGUCAAAUUCUUUUUUAGAAAGAGCAUGUAAUUCAAUAACUUAUCAUUAUGUUUAGCUAUUUAAUUCCAUGAAAUUUCAGGUCAAUUGAGCCACAAGUGAAAGGAAACGAUUUACUUUGACUGUGA